rnacentral:rRNA from 1 species
GUAGUCUCGCACAGAUGCAUAUCAAUAAGCGGAGGAAAAGAAACUAACAAGGAUUCCCCUAGUAACGGCGAGUGAAGCGGGAAGAGCUCAAAUUUGAAAUCUUAAAGGGUUUCCCUUUACGAAUUGUAGUUUAAAGAAGUGUUUUCUGUUGAGGUUUUGGUAAAAGUUCUUUGGAAUAGGACAUCAUAGAGGGUGAGAAUCCCGUAUUUGACCUUUACUUUCAACUUUGUGAUACACUUUCAAAGAGUCGGAUUGUUUGGGAAUGCAGUCCAAAAUGGGUGGUAAAUUUCAUCUAAAGCUAAAUAUUGGCGAGAGACCGAUAGCGAACAAGUACCGUGAGGGAAAGAUGAAAGGAACUUUGAAAAGAGAGUUAAACAGUACGUGAAAUUGUCAAAAGGGAAGCGUUUGACACCAGUGUUGUUUUUCUGAAAAUCAAUUAAAGAACUGUUUAUGCUAAGCUGUUUAGACUUUAUCAGCUAUCUGUUUAGUUUUGAGCUUUUCUUUAAUGCACUUUUCAGUUAACAAGUCAACAUCAAUUUCUUUUGCUGUAAAAAAGCUUGAGGAAGGUGGCCUGAGAUUCGUCUUAAGUGUUUAUAGCCUCUUGCCUAUGCAGUCGGAGAGAUUGAGGUCUGCAGCGUAGAUCCUUCGGGGCUAAAUGCAUUUGUGCUAAGUUAUAGCAUUUUAUAGACAACUUGUUGACUAUGAUUUGUCUUGUAGCUUACUCGCUUAUGUUAUUUUACCUACGCUUAGGAUGUUGAUCUGUAGUGCGUGCGC